AAGAUGCAGCAGAACAAACCGUUUGCGACGCACUUUUAACAGGUGGAGGAUUAGUGGUGCCACUGAAGUGUUCUGUGAUGGAGCAUCAGUGAGGAUGCAGACCCUGGUAACUGGCUGAUGGUUCACAGGAAUGCUGACUG